GACGAACGCUGGCGGCGUGCUUAACACAUGCAAGUCGAACGGAAAGGCCCUGCUUUUGUGGGGUGCUCGAGUGGCGAACGGGUGAGUAACACGUGAGUAACCUGCCCUUGACUUUGGGAUAACUUCAGGAAGCUGGGGCUAAUACCGGAUAGGAGCUCCUGCUGCAUGGUGGGGGUUGGAAAGUUUCGGCGGUUGGGGAUGGACUCGCGGCUUAUCAGCUUGUUGGUGGGGUAGUGGCUUACCAAGGCUUUGACGGGUAGCCGGCCUGAGAGGGUGACCGGCCACAUUGGAACUGAGAUACGGCCCAGACUCCUACGGGAGGCAGCAGUGGGGAAUAUUGCACAAUGGGCGGAAGCCUGAUGCAGCAACGCCGCGUGCGGGAUGACGGCCUUCGGGUUGUAAACCGCUUUCGCCUGUGACGAAGCGUGAGUGACGGUAAUGGGUAAAGAAGCACCGGCUAACUACGUG
rnacentral:rRNA from 1 species